rnacentral:rRNA from 1 species
GAUGAACGCUGGCGGCGUGCCUAAUACAUGCAAGUCGAGCGAACAGACGAGGAGCUUGCUCCUUUGACGUUAGCGGCGGACGGGUGAGUAACACGUAGGUAACCUACCUAUAAGACUGGGAUAACUUCGGGAAACCGGAGCUAAUACCGGAUAAUAUUUCGAACCGCAUGGUUCGAUAGUGAAAGAUGGCUUUGCUAUCACUUAUAGAUGGACCUGCGCCGUAUUAGCUAGUUGGUAAGGUAACGGCUUACCAAGGCAACGAUACGUAGCCGACCUGAGAGGGUGAUCGGCCACACUGGAACUGAGACACGGUCCAGACUCCUACGGGAGGCAGCAGUAGGGAAUCUUCCGCAAUGGGCGAAAGCCUGACGGAGCAACGCCGCGUGAGUGAUGAGGGUCUUCGGAUCGUAAAACUCUGUUAUUAGGGAAGAACAAACGUGUAAGUAACUGUGCACGUCUUGACGGUACCUAAUCAGAAAGCCACGGCUAACUACGUG